GACAGAGGGUGCAAACGUUGUUCGGAAUUACUGGGCGUAAAGCGCGUGUAGGCGGUGCGGUAAGUCGGGUGUGAAAGCCCUGGGCUCAACCCAGGAAGUGCAUUCGAUACUACCGUACUAGAGUCCCGGAGAGGUUGGUGGAACUCUCGGUGCAGAGGUGAAAUUCGUAGAUAUCGAGAAGAACACCGGUGGCGAAGGCGGCCAACUGGACGGUGACUGACGCUGAGACGCGAAAGCGUGGGGAGCAAACAGG
rnacentral:rRNA from 1 species